rnacentral:rRNA from 1 species
GUGUGUGGAGGGAACGCGGGGAAGUGAAACAUCUCAGUACCCGUAGGAAGAGAAAAUAAGAAUGAUUCCGGGAGUAGUGGCGAGCGAAACUGGAUGAGCCUAAACCGUGUGCGUGUCAAGCGUGCUGGUGUUGCGUACAUGGUGUUGUGGGGUGUGUGUGUUCGGUUCAGCAUGACCGAGACGCUGAUGAGUGCUUACGUGUAGUCGAAGCUGGUGGGAAACAGUACCGGAGUGGGUGAGAGUCCCGUAGACGAAACGCGUGGCCCCGGUGUGACACGUGUCCCCGAGUAGCACGGAACUCGUGGAAUUCCGUGUGAAUCUGCCAGGACCACCUGGUAAGGCUAAAUACUUCCUGAUGACCGAUAGCGGAUCAGUACCGUGAGGGAAUGGUGAAAAGUACCCCGGGAGGGGAGUGAAAGAGUACCUGAAACCAUGUGCUUACAAUCCGUCAGAGCACCCGUGUUGGUGUGAUGGCGUGCCUUUUGAAGAAUGAGCCUGCGAGUUAGCGGUGCGUGGCGAGGUUAACCCGUGUGGGGUAGCCGUAGCGAAAGCGAGUCCGAAUAGGGCGGUCCAGUCGCGUGUCCUAGACCCGAAGCGGAGUGAUCUAGCCAUGGGCAGGGUGAAGCAGCAGUAAGAUGUUGUGGAGGCCCGCACCCACUUCAGUUGAAAAUGGAGGGGAUGACCUGUGGUUAGGGGUGAAAGGCCAAUCAAACUCUGUGAUAGCUGGUUCUCCCCGAAAUGCAUUUAGGUGCAGCGUUGCGUGGUUCUUGCCGGAGGUAGAGCUACUGGAU